AUCAGACUUGUUACAAGGUUGUUCUAACAAGUCUGAUACAGUCAUGAUAUAGCAAGAAUGUUACAAGGUUGACGACACAAUGUUGUAACAAUACUGUUAUAUCAUAACUGUAUCGGACUUGUUGGAACAACCUUGUAAUACUGUA
rnacentral:miRNA from 1 species